CCAUCAUCCCGCUCCCUCACCCAUCCCUAUCUCCUCCUCCUCCCAUCCUCCGUCCCUCUCCCUCCUUCCCCGUAGCCGGGGCUCGGGCACCGCAGAAUAAAGCCCAGAGAGCCGGAGCCGGCGCCCCCCGCUGUCCCUGGAGCCCCGCACGGGGCCGGACCCUCUCAUACCAUGGGCUCGUGGGGUGAUUUGGAAGGGACGACGAAAUCUGUUGUCCCGUCUCACGGCAAAGAACACGGCCAAAACUGCCUCCUCAGCCUCAUGGAAUGGCAGUGGCUGUGUGGAGCUCUGGCAGGAGUGCCUGGAGACCAGGGAGAGGAAGCCAAGCCUGGCGAGGAGGUGUGGGAGGAUGGAGACAGCGGCCACCAAAGGCUGGGGAAGGCCCAGCUCCAGCCCUUUGCUUCCCAGAGGUGCUGCUUUAGGAAAGCCCCUCCAGCCUGGGCAGGAGCUCCUGGCUCCAGACACAUUCCAGUGCCCAGGAGCAGCAGGACCUGUGCUGUUCCCAGCAGACAGCAAAAACCACUUAACUCAUCCCAUCUUUGCCCAGAGCUUUGGAGUUUGAGCAGCCAAACCCAACGGGCUCCAGCUGCACUGGAGGGUCCCUGGCCCUGCUGUGGUGUGGGGUGAGCCCCCAGCUGUCCCCAGAGUGUCACAAACUCAGAGGGAUCUGCCCUGGUUUCAGGCUGUCCCUGCAGUCCCCGACGCCUCCCUCGGGCCCCCUUCUCCUACCCCCACCCCAGCCCCCCUCCCCCCUGGGACCCCCUCCUGAGGAGGGGGCCCUUCCUAACACCCCCCAACCGCCCCCCA